UAGAUAUUGCAUGAUAUCUGCUUGAAAGGUGCAAAUGCAUCACUACCAGAUGGACCUGCGUUGUAUUAGCUAGUUGGUGAGGUAACGGCUCACCUAGGCGACGAUACAUAGCCGACCUGAGAGGGUGAUCGGCCACACUGGGACUGAGACACGGCCCAGACUCCUACGGGAGGCAGCAGUAGGGAAUCUUCGGCAAUGGGGGGAACCCUGACCGAGCAACGCCGCGUGAGUGAAGAAGGUUUUCGGAUCGUAAAGCUCUGUUGUUAAGGAAGAACGAGUGUGAGAAUGGAAAGUUCAUACUGUGACGGUACUUAACCAGAAAGGGACGGCUAACUACGUGCCAGCAGCCGCGGUAAUACGUAGGUCCCGAGCGUUGUCCGGAUUUAUUGGGCGUAAAGCGAGCGCAGGCGGUUAGAUAAGUCUGAAGUUAAAGGCAGUGGCUCAACCAUUGUAGGCUUUGGAAACUGUUUAACUUGAGUGCAGAAGGGGAGAGUGGAAUUCCAUGUGUAGCGGUGAAAUGCGUAGAUAUAUGGAGGAACACCGGUGGCGAAAGCGGCUCUCUGGUCUGUAACUGACGCUGAGGCUCGAAAGCGUGGGGAGCGAACAGGAUUAGAUACCCUGGUAGUCCACGCCGUAAACGAUGAGUGCUAGGUGUUAGGUCCUUUCCGGGACUUAGUGCCGCAGCUAACGCAUUAAGCACUCCGCCUGGGGAGUACGACCGCAAGGUGAAACUCAAAGGAAUUGACGGC
rnacentral:rRNA from 1 species